CCUACCCAUCACCCAUCUUCAACAUUAAGGACAAUUUUAAAUGAAGUAUUUAAACCAUCUGAAGGCCAGUUUGAAAAAAAAAGAUUCUUACAUCAUCUCAUAUCUUGAAAGUGAGAGAGGGUUCACAAGAUGGAAGCCACAGUCUUUUUGUAACCUAACCUCAAAAUGACAUUCUAUCAUUAGAUGCAAGUUAUUAUACCUAGUCCACAUUCAAGGGGAGGCGAUUAUACAAGAGUGUGAAAACCCAACAGGCUGGUUGUAUUUCCCUUCAAGCUACAGUUAGAGCACUGGGCAUUUUUGGCAGUCUACUUUUAUGUAGCCAUAAAAGAUGAUCUCUGGAGGAAAAAGGCUCCGUUGAGAUGGGAAAAUAUCCUCAGGUGAGGAUUAAAAAAAUUGCCCUUUGAAAGGAUUCCAGGCUGAAAACAAUUUCUCC